ACAGAGGAUCCCUACCCUCAAUGGUUUCCUUUGGAUUGAGCUGAUGCAAGUGUCUAUAAAUCCUACAUCUGAGUCAUGGCUUCAAGUAUUUGUGUACUGCCUGUCUAUCAAUGUAAAUGUUUAUUGCUUCAAAGAUUUCAAGGAUGCCAUUCUAGCAAGAUAAAGUUCCUGUGAAAACGAUAAAUGUACCAAAUUGAUGAAUCAACUCCUGCAAGGAAAUUUGUUGGGUAUUGUGAAAUAAAAGCGUAAUAUUUUCUCAAGAUUAAUGGAUGUUUUGAUAAGACUUAA